rnacentral:rRNA from 1 species
UAAUUUAAGGGUAGCAAUAUUCUUAAGUUGGAGCGGCGCAAGGGUGCGUAACACGUGGGUAAUUUGCCGUGAAGUUGGGGAUAACUUGCUGAAAGGCGAGCUAAUACCGAAUGUGACGUUUGGAAGGCAUCUUCUGAAUUUCAAAGUUGGGGACCGUAAGGCCUGACGCUUCACGAUAAGCCCGCGGCCUAUCAGCUAGUUGGUGAGGUAAUGGCUCACCAAGGCUAAGACGGGUAGCUGGUCUGAGAGGACGACCAGCCACACUGGAACUGAGACACGGUCCAGACACCUACGGGUGGCAGCAGUCGAGAAUUUUUCUCAAUGGGCGAAAGCCUGAAGGAGCGACGCCGCGUGGGGGAUGAAUGGCUUCGGCCCGUAAACCCCUGUCAUUUGCGAACAAACCUUACGAUCUAAUAAGUCGUGAGCUGAUUGUAGCGAAAGAGGAAGGGACGGCUAACUCUGUGCCAACAGCCGCGGUAAUACAGAGGUCCCAAGCGUUGUUCGGAUUCACUGGGCGUAAAGGGUGCGUAGGUGGUCGGGUAAGUCUGAUGUGAAAUCUCCGAGCUUAACUCGGAAAUGGCAUUGGAUACUAUUCGGCUAGAGGGUUUGAGGGGGGACUGGAAUACUUGGUGUAGCAGUGAAAUGCGUAGAUAUCAAGUGGAACACCAGUGGCGAAGGCGAGUCCCUGGAAAACUCCUGACACUGAGGCACGAAAGCUAGGGGAGCAAACAGGAUUAGAUACCCUGGUAGUCCUAGCUGUAAACGGUGCAUAUUUGCUGUAAAAGGAAUCGACCCCUUUUGUGGCGAAG